UACGGAGGGUGCGAGCGUUGUCCGGAAUCAUUGGGCGUAAAGGGCGCGUAGGUGGCCCGGUCAGUCUUUGGUGAAAGCGCGGGGCUCAACCCUGCGUCGGCCAGGGAUACUGCCGCGGCUCGAGCACUGUAGAGGCAGGCGGAAUUCCGGGUGUAGCGGUGGAAUGCGCAGAUAUCGGGAGGAACACCAGUGGCGAAGGCGGCUUCCUGGCCUGUUCUUGACGCUGAGGCGCGAAAGCUAGGGGAGCAAACGGG
rnacentral:rRNA from 1 species